GACGAACUGUCCUAACGUUGUUCGGAAUCACUGGGCUUAAAGGGCGCGUAGGCGGUCGAUCAAGUCAGGGGUGAAAUCCUACAGCUUAACUGUAGAAGUGCCUUUGAUACUGGUUGUCUUGAGGGAGGUAGGGGUGUGUGGAACUCACAGUGGAGCGGUGAAAUGCGUAGAUAUCGGGAGGAACACCAGUGGCGAAGGCGGGUCUCUGGGCCGAUACUGACGCUGAGGAGCGAAAGCGUGGGGAGCGAACAGG
rnacentral:rRNA from 1 species